rnacentral:rRNA from 1 species
AUAGAGAUUCUCAAGUUGCUUUUGGCUAAAGGCAGCAUCGAACAAUGUGUGUAGAGUACACGAGCGGCGGACGGCUGAGUAACGCGUAGGAACGUACCCCAAAGUGAGGGAUAAGCACCAGAAAUGGUGUCUAAUACCGCAUGUGCUCCACGGAGUAAAGCUUUAUGCGCUUUGGGAACGGCCUGCGUCCGAUUAGCUUGUUGGUGAGGUAAAAGCUCACCAAGGCGACGAUCGGUAGCCUGGUCUGAGAGGAUGAUCAGCCAGACUGGGACUGAGACACGGCCCAGACUCCUACGGGAGGCAGCAGUAGGGAAUUUUCCACAAUGGGGGCAACCCUGAUGGAGCAACGCCGCGUGCAGGAUGAAUGCCUUCGGGUUGUAAACUGCUUUUAUCUGUGACGAUUAUGACGGUAGCAGAUGAAUAAGGAUCGGCUAACUCCGUGCCAGCAGCCGCGGUCAUACGGAGGAUCCAAGCGUUAUCCGGAAUUACUGGGCGUAAAGAGUUGCGUAGGUGGCAGAGUAAGUAGAUAGUGAAAGCGUGCGGCUCAACCGCAUAUCCAUUAUCUAAACUGCUCAGCUUGAGGACGAGAGAGGUAGAUGGAAUUCCCAGUGUAGGAGUGAAAUGCGUAGAGAUCCGGAGGAAUACCAGUGGCGCAAGCGGCGCUCUGGGUCGAGCCUGACACUGAGACGCGAAGGCAUGGGGAGGCGAACGGGGUUAGAAACCCCGGUAGUCCAUGCAGUAAACGAUGCAGACUGGGUGUGGGCGACGCAAGUCGUCUGUGCCGAAGCCAACGCGCUAAGUCUGCCGCCUGGGAAGUACGGUCGCAAGACUAAAACUCAAAGGAAUUGACGGGGGCCCGCACAAGCAGCGGAGCGUGUGGUUUAAUUCGAGGCUACACGAAGAACCUUACCUAGGGUCGACAUGCUGGUGGUAGUGAACCGAAAGGGGAACGACGCUUCGGCGAGCCAGUACAGGUGCUGCAUGGUUGUCGUCAGCUCGUGCCGUGAGGUGUUCGGUUAAGUCCGAAAACGAGCGCAACCCUCGGGGUGCGUUACAUGUGUCGCACGCGACUGCCCGUGAGAAACGGGAGGAAGGUGGGGAUGACGUCAAAUCAGCAUGGCCUUUAUCUCUAGGGCUACACACACGCUACAAUGGACGGUACAGUGCGUUGCGAAGGCGCGAGCCGGAGCCAAUCGAGAAAGCCGUUCGAAGUUCGGAUUGCAGGCUGCAACCCGCCUGCAUGAAGCUGGAGUUGCUAGUAACCGCGCGUCAGCCAUAGUGCGGUGAAUACGUUCCCGGGCCUUGUACACACCGCCCGUCACGUCAUGGGAGCUAGUCACGCCUGAAAUCGGGGAGCCAACCGCAAGGGAGCAACCGCUGAAGGCAGGGCUGGUGACUGGGACG